GUACUAUAUAUGCUAUUUUUCUUCGGUAUUCCCGCCAGUCCUAACCUGAUGAUCGCUUUCAUAUUAGCGGUGUGUGUCGGCGUGGCGAACUCCGCGCUGGAUACCGGCGGAUACCCUGCAUUAAUGGAGUGUUUUCCCAAAGCAUCGGGCUCGGCAGUUAUUCUGGUUAAAGCGAUGGUCUCUUUUGGGCAAAUGAUUUAUCCCCUUAUUGUCAGCGCCUUGUUAGUCAACCAUAUCUGGUACGGCUACGCGGUGGUAAUCCCCGGUAUCCUUUUCGUCCUCAUCACGUUGAUGCUGUUGAAAAGCCGUUUUCCCAGCCAACUUGUCGAUGCCAGUAUUGCGAAAGAAUUACCCCAGAUGAACAGUACUCCCCUCGUCUGGCUGGAAGGCGUAGCUUCCGUUUUAUUUGGCGUCGCCGCGUUCUCAACCUUCUAUGUGAUUGUGGUCUGGAU
rnacentral:misc_RNA from 1 species